rnacentral:snRNA from 1 species
GCACUCCCAUUCACCAAAGUACAUAUACUGAAAUUGGAACGAUACAGAGAAGAUUAGCAUGGCCCCUGCGCUCGACCACGCCAUGAGAGGAGACGGCCUCGAAGAAUUC